rnacentral:rRNA from 1 species
CGGAUGAAUGCUGGCGGCGUGCCUAACACAUGCAAGUCGAGGGGUAUAGGGAGCUUGCUUCCUAGAGACCGGCGCACGGGUGCGUAACGCGUAUGCAAUCUACCUUGUACAGGGGAAUAGCCCAGAGAAAUUUGGAUUAAUGCCCCAUAGUAUUAUUAAAUGGCAUCCUUUAAUAAUUAAAGUUCCAACGGUACAAGAUGAGCAUGCGUCCUAUUAGUUAGUUGGUGUGGUAACGGCAUACCAAGACGAUGAUAGGUAGGGGUCCUGAGAGGGAGAUCCCCCACACUGGUACUGAGACACGGACCAGACUCCUACGGGAGGCAGCAGUGAGGAAUAUUGGACAAUGGGCGCAAGCCUGAUCCAGCCAUGCCGCGUGCAGGAAGACGGUCCUAUGGAUUGUAAACUGCUUUUAUACAGGAAGAAACACUGGUUCGUGAACCAGCUUGACGGUACUGUAAGAAUAAGGAUCGGCUAACUCCGUG